CAGCAGCCGCGGGAAUACAGAGGGUGCGAGCGUUAAUCGGAUUUACUGGGCGUAAAGCGUGCGUAGGCGGCUAAUUGAGUCGGAUGUGAAAUCCCCGAGCUUAACUUGGGAAUUGCAUUCGAUACUGGUUAGCUAGAGUGUGGGAGAGGAUGGUAGAAUUCCAGGUGUAGCGGUGAAAUGCGUAGAGAUCUGGAGGAAUACCGAUGGCGAAGGCAGCCAUCUGGCCUAACACUGACGCUGAGGUACGAAAGCAUGGGGAGCAAACAGGAUUAGAUACCCGCGUAGUACCUGUCUCUUAUAC
rnacentral:rRNA from 1 species